rnacentral:rRNA from 1 species
GACGAACGCUGGCGGCGUGCCUAAUACAUGCAAGUAGAACGCACAGUUUAUACCGUAGCUUGCUACACCAUAGACUGUGAGUUGCGAACGGGUGAGUAACGCGUAGGUAACCUGCCUGGUAGCGGGGGAUAACUAUUGGAAACGAUAGCUAAUACCGCAUAAUAUUAAUUAUUGCAUGAUAAUUAAUUGAAAGGUGCAAUUGCACCACUACCAGAUGGACCUGCGUUGUAUUAGCUAGUAGGUGAGGUAACGGCUCACCUAGGCGACGAUACAUAGCCGACCUGAGAGGGUGAUCGGCCACACUGGGACUGAGACACGGCCCAGACUCCUACGGGAGGCAGCAGUAGGGAAUCUUCGGCAAUGGACGAAAGUCUGACCGAGCAACGCCGCGUGAGUGAAGAAGGUUUUCGGAUCGUAAAGCUCUGUUGUAAGAGAAGAACGGGUGUGAGGGUGGAAAGUUCACACUGUGACGGUAUCUUACCAGAAAGGGACGGCUAACUACGUG